UGAGGAUAUGGCUCAGUGAUUAAGCUCCCUGGAUUCAAUCCCUGGUACUAAGACUCCUAAAGCACAAGAAAUAAAAUCAAGAAUUAAUAAAUGGGAUGGACUGAAACUAAAAAGCUUUUUCUCAGCAAAAGAAACAAUUAGUGAGGUGAACAGAGAGCCUAAAUUUUGGGAGCAAAUUUUUGCCACACACAUGUCAGAGCACUAAUCUCCAGGAUAUAUAAAGAACUCAGAAAUCUUAACAACAAAAAAACAAACAACCCAGUCAACAAAUGGGCCAAGGAACUGAACAGACCCUUCUCAGAAGAAGGUAUACAAUCAGUCAACAAUUAUAUGAAAAUAUGUUAAUAUCUCUAGCAAUUAGAGAAAUGCAAAUCAAAACUACUCUAAGGUUUCAUCUCAUGCCAGUCAGAAUGGCAGUUAUUAAGAAAUCAGACAAUAAUAAAUGUAAGCGAGGAUGUGGGGGAAAAGGCACACUCAUUCAUUGCUGGUGGGACUGCAAAUUGGUGCAACCAAUCUGGAAAGCAGUAUGAAGAUUUUUUAGAAACUUGGAAUGGAAUCAUCAUUUGACUCAGAUAUACCAUCGUUUUAUAGGACUUAAAAUCAGCAUACUAAAGUAACAGCCACAUCAAUGUUCAAAGCAACUCAAUUCCUAAUAGCUAAACUGGAAGCAAACUAGAUGCCCUUCAAUAGAUGAGUGGCUAAAGAAACUGUGGUAUUUAUACAUGAUAGAAUAUUACUCAGCAUUAAAAGAAAAUAAAAUUAUGGCAUUUGCAGAUAAAUGGAUGGAGUUGGAGAAUAUCAUGCUAAGCAAAGUAAGCCAAUGCCCAAAAACCCAAAGGCUGAAUAUUCUCUCUGAUAAAUGGAUAGAUGGUGAUCCAUAAUGGGAAGGAGGGAGGCUUGGGAAAAUGGAGGAACUGUGGGCAAAGGGGAGGGAGGAUGGGGAAGUUGCAUGAGGGCAGGAAAGAUGGUG
rnacentral:lncRNA from 1 species